AUCGAAGUAAUUUAAAAAAAAUAUUAAUUUGUGGCAUUAAAAUUAUCAGUUAAAAUCUGAUCUACGAUC
rnacentral:tRNA from 1 species